rnacentral:rRNA from 1 species
GACGAACGCUGGCGGCGUGCUUAACACAUGCAAGUCGAACGGAAAGGCCUCUUUCGGGGGGUACUCGAGUGGCGAACGGGUGAGUAACACGUGAGUAACCUGCCCUUGACUUUGGGAUAACUUCAGGAAACUGGGGCUAAUACCGGAUAGGAGCUCCUGCUGCAUGGUGGGGGUUGGAAAGUUUCGGCGGUUGGGGAUGGACUCGCGGCUUAUCAGCUUGUUGGUGGGGUAGUGGCUUACCAAGGCUUUGACGGGUAGCCGGCCUGAGAGGGUGACCGGCCACAUUGGGACUGAGAUACGGCCCAGGCUCCGACGGGUGGCAGCAGUGGGGAAGAUUGCACAAUGGGUGGAGGCCUGAUGCAGCAACGCCGUGUGCGGGAUGACGGCCUUCGGGUUGUAGACCGCUUUCGCUCAUGACGAAGCUUUGUGUGACGGUAGUGGGUAAAGAAGCACCGGCUAACUACGUG